AGGCAGGCUUUCUGGAAGGAUCUGUGGAACCUGAGAUACCAGACUUUUGUGCCGCCUACGGAUGCUCCAAUCGCCGAUGUCUCGAAACGAGAACCCGUGGGAUCACCUUUCACCCGUUUCCCAAAACCAGAGAGAGGAGGAGGACGUGGGAGGUUGCCCUAAGAAGGGACGGUUUUGUUGCUUCUGACAGGACGCUGCUCUGCAGUGAGGACUUCAGGAGUGGAGGGCAUUAGCCAAAUGUUACCACGGUUUUACAGAACUGAUCUUUGCACCACACUUUUGGUUUCCUGCGCUGUUUUACCGAUCAGCAUCAAACAUUGUUAUUUACAGACGUACAGCUAGGUACUAAAGCAACAUAUCUUUAGAAAGCUAAGAUUUUUCUGAUUUCACUGAUGUAAACCAUUUCAAGAUCCGAUCACCACAGCCGGUACAAUCAACGUCUCAGUCAGACCGGAAAUAGAAAAAAUAACGUUUACAAAGUCGAUGCGACUCACCUAAGAAUCACCAUUAUCAUAUCAUAUCAGCGUUUUAGGCGAAUAUCACCAGCCUCUUUAGAGGUUAGUAAAUAUUAUAGAUUUGUAUUGAUUUCCUCCAUCUGUAUACCUCCACAGUAGUCUAGUUCUCUCUAGAGAGGGUGGGAAUUUUCAUUUAUAUUUUAUUUAUAUUUGUAAAUGGAAAUCUUACACCUUUUUUUUACUGCAAAGAAAUGUC